UGGGGAAAAUUUGUGAAAAAGAUUCCAUAUCGGGCCAAUGCUUUGACAUGUUUGGUCAAACUUGAGCUUGUAUGUGUGGGUUCAAGUUGUAUAUUUCAUGCGAAAGAAUCAUUGAUCUUCUUUCGUAAUGUCAACUAUUGGAUCAUAUCUUGCACAGCUCUUAAAGCACUCUGACAUCUUUGUUCCAUCCAUCUGUACGGAUCUUAAAAUGACUAUUGCGCAACCUAGUGAUUGACGUUGCGAAGAAAGAUGAAUCAUUCUAUUGCGCGAAAGAUACAAUCGGUAACCUGCAUGUACGUACGUAGUCCAUAAUAGUCAUCA
rnacentral:lncRNA from 1 species